AUAAGAUUCCUGUCUUCUCGGGACGGACUGUGAGGGCAAUAUGCCACUGUCUAGUUUUAUUUGUCAGUCUGUAACGCCACGCAAGGAAGAAUAGCAGUUGAAAUCUUUCAAAAGGAGGGUAUCUGGACUGGACACCUCUCCUCCCGAAAUUGACCUCUCUUUUUGGACACUCCUUUGACCUCUAUUCAGGAGCAGUAAGUAGCGGGCUUUUUUUUAUAUUUUUCUUUACGCCCUUGAACUGUCUCCUUAGCUGUAAAAAAAAAAAAAAAAAGGCUACAAGGCUAUCACUUGUCACAUCAGUCGUCUAUGUCUUUCCAUCAAUACAUAACUUCCCUUGGACAGCGUCAGUCGUAGUAACAUGAACUACUCAACCGCAUGAUUUGUUAGAUCCAUCUUCUAUCGCAUUUGUAGAUCAGUUUUUGCCUGUCUUAAACCUAAAUUUAUCCAACUUGUACCCAUGGCUCCGGGCUGUAACUUUUUGAGUCUAAGUACUUCAUCAGCAUCCAAGUAGCCUGGGACUCCCUUUGCGACACACAUCCGUUAGCAGCCACAUGACUAUCGCAUUUGAAGAUCAGUUUUUGCCCUUCUAAAACCUGAAUUUAUCCAACUUGUACCCAUGGCUCCGGGCUGUAACUUUUUGAGUCUAAGUACUUCAUCAGCAUCCAAGUAGCCUGGGACUCCCUUUGCGACACACAUCCGUCAGCAGCCACAUGACUAUCGAGCUGGGUCAUCUUAUCUUGAAUACUUUUUAUUAGAAUCGGGAGAGUAAAGUGUGUAGAGGAAAUGGUGAACUACAAAUCUUACUUGGCAAGAUUUGAACUGCUGGCCACUGACAAGGUCGUAUAAGCCAAUAAGGUAGUACAGAGUUUUGUUGCUAUCAUAACAGAGCGAAAUAGUCAGCGUACAAUAAGUUAUCACAUCGUAUGAUUGAAUUUAAUGUUAUUCAGCCUAUUAAAUGUAUAUCGACCUAUUAUGCACAUCACUAUUAUUGUUAAGUUAACCCCUUGAAUGCGGAUUUCCUACAAGUACCUCACAAAGCUACUGGAAUGGAGCAAAAAGUGGAUGUUACAAUUCAAUGAAGAAAAAUGUGAAGUCCUGCACCAUGGGAGGGAGUAUCCAGCACACCAGUACCACAUGGGAAACACUCCACUAUCCACCACAGAGGCAGAGAAAGACCUGGGAGUAUAAUGUUACCAGGCUACCAGGGAAGGCCAAAUCCGUGCCAAUCGCAGCGGACGGGUUAAGAGAUACACGUCGUACUAACCCUUGGCCCACAAGUCUCCUUACAGGGCCCUAAAUAUUAUAUACAGACGAGGCCGCUUGCAUGAACUCUGAAAAUUCUCGGAAGCGAAGAUUAAAAUAAAACAGAAUGGCACUGAAAUUUCGACAAUCAAUGUUAACCAAUACAAGUUUUUGCUGCGUUGGGACUUAAACAAAAAAUGGAGUCUGUUUCUCUGGCCUGCACUGAGGAGGUGGACGGGCGGGUCGGAGGUGAGUAUCAAUGUUAACCAAUACAAGCUUUUGCUGCGUUGGGACUUAAAGAAAAAAUGGAGUCUGUUUCUCUGGCCUGCACUAAGGAGGUGGACGGGCGGGUCGGAGGUGAGUAUCAAUGUUAACCAAUACAAGUUUUUGCUGCGUUGGGACUUAAACAAAAAAUGGAGUCUGUUUCUCUGGCCUGCGCUAAGGAGGUGGACAGGCGGGUCGGAGGUGAGUAUCAAUGUUAACCAAUACAAGUUUUUGCUGCGUUGGGACUUAAAGAAAAAAUGGAGUCUGUUUCUCUGGCCUGCACUGAGGAGGUGGACGGGCGGGUCGGAGGUGAGUAUUUACUUGGUUGAGGUUGCAGUUGGGGUGGUGAAUGUUAGACAUCUCCAUGUGCUCAAUCUUGCCAGUGCCCUUGUCGAUCUCCGGGGAGCCGUAGUGGUGGUGGGGGGGCACCGCG